UCAUUUGUGAGACCAAGCACAGCACCACUGCAUUUUGAGGAGGUGCGCCGUUCCAGCCAUUGUAUAUACCCACGUACUACUACUACUUCUGCCUUGCCAGCACAAAGACAGGAGCUGCCUAAAGACCUGCUGAUGGGUUCUUUUGCGUGCUCUGUCACUUAGCAUGGCUAACUAUGGUAUAGCUCUUCCUUUUGCGAGUUGCCUUUACAGACAGCACCAGCACAACAACUGUGCCGACAUUCUUUUGCGUCGUCCACCGUCUGACACCAAUUACAGCACUCAUCCAAAAUAUGCUUUGGAGGACAGCUUUGUGCCAACUUCAGGCACAAAGGGCUAGAAACCCGCAUCUGAAUCAUGAGUACGAUAGUUCAGUCAAAGAUCUCACUCAAUUUCUUAAUACAAGAUAGGCCUGAGCAAGGAACUGGUGAUCUCUCAAAGCUGGUUUCGACUUUGUGCGUGUUUAGUUUACCGAAAUUAGUAUGGCACAUGCCCUUCAUAGUGUGUCUCUUUUGUAGUAACACAUACCUCAUCAACGCAGCUGCGCCUGUUGGAUGUGCCUAAAACUUCUAGCACCUGUUAUUGCCAUUGUCCAAACUGGUCUUGAUUCAUAUAUGCAGGACUAUUUAGUUUCAA